GUGUAGUAGGUGAGGAGUAGGUGAGGAGUAGGUGAGUGUGUAGUAGGUGGUAGUGGUAGGUGUGUAGUAGGUGGAUUUUAACAGAUCCUAUUAAAACCUCCCGGAUCUCCAAAAGAACAACAAAUCAUGUAUAUAUAUUGGUGAUGAGGAUCAUGGAAAGAAGAAAAAAAGAAAUCUGGAAUUUCAUAUGAAGCACAUUUAAGGC
rnacentral:misc_RNA from 1 species